ACGAAGGUCCCAAGCGUUAUCCGGAUUUAUUGGGUUUAAAGGGUGCGUAGGCGGCUUUUUAAGUCAGUGGUGAAAGCCUGAAGCUCAACUUCAGAAUUGCCAUUGAUACUGAAGAGCUUGAGUAUGGUUGAGGUGGGCGGAAUGUGUCAUGUAGCGGUGAAAUGCUUAGAUAUGACACAGAACACCGAUUGCGAAGGCAGCUCACUAAGCCAUAACUGACGCUGAUGCACGAAAGCGUGGGGAGCAAACAGGAUUAGAUACCCUGGUAGUCCACGCCCUAAACGAUGAUCACUCGAUGUGUGCGAUAUACUGUACGCGUCUAAGCGAAAGCAUUAAGUGAUCCACCUGGGGAGUACGACCGCAAGGUUG
rnacentral:rRNA from 1 species